UGAUGAACGCUAGCUACAGGCUUAACACAUGCAAGUCGAGGGGCAGCAUGGUCUUAGCUUGCUAAGGCCGAUGGCGACCGGCGCACGGGUGAGUAACACGUAUCCAACCUGCCGUCUACUCUUGGACAGCCUUCUGAAAGGAAGAUUAAUACAAGAUGGCAUCAUGAGUCCGCAUGUUCACAUGAUUAAAGGUAUUCCGGUAGACGAUGGGGAUGCGUUCCAUUAGAUAGUAGGCGGGGUAACGGCCCACCUAGUCUUCGAUGGAUAGGGGUUCUGAGAGGAAGGUCCCCCACAUUGGAACUGAGACACGGUCCAAACUCCUACGGGAGGCAGCAGUGAGGAAUAUUGGUCAAUGGGCGAGAGCCUGAACCAGCCAAGUAGCGUGAAGGAUGACUGCCCUAUGGGUUGUAAACUUCUUUUAUAAAGGAAUAAAGUCGGGUAUGGAUACCCGUUUGCAUGUACUUUAUGAAUAAGGAUCGGCUAACUCCGUGCCAGCAGCCGCGGUAAUACGGAGGAUCCGAGCGUUAUCCGGAUUUAUUGGGUUUAAAGGGAGCGUAGAUGGAUGUUUAAGUCAGUUGUGAAAGUUUGCGGCUCAACCGUAAAAUUGCAGUUGAUACUGGAUAUCUUGAGUGCAGUUGAGGCAGGCGGAAUUCGUGGUGUAGCGGUGAAAUGCUUAGAUAUCACGAAGAACUCCGAUUGCGAAGGCAGCCUGCUAAGCUGCAACUGACAUUGAGGCUCGAAAGUGUGGGUAUCAAACAGGAUUAGAUACCCUGGUAGUCCACACGGUAAACGAUGAAUACUCGCUGUUUGCGAUAUACUGCAAGCGGCCAAGCGAAAGCGUUAAGUAUUCCACCUGGGGAGUACGCCGGCAACGGUGAAACUCAAAGGAAUUGACGGGGGCCCGCACAAGCGGAGGAACAUGUGGUUUAAUUCGAUGAUACGCGAGGAACCUUACCCGGGCUUAAAUUGCAGAUGAAUUACGGUGAAAGCCGUAAGCCGCAAGGCAUCUGUGAAGGUGCUGCAUGGUUGUCGUCAGCUCGUGCCGUGAGGUGUCGGCUUAAGUGCCAUAACGAGCGCAACCCUUGUUGUCAGUUACUAACAGGUUCCGCUGAGGACUCUGACAAGACUGCCAUCGUAAGAUGUGAGGAAGGUGGGGAUGACGUCAAAUCAGCACGGCCCUUACGUCCGGGGCUACACACGUGUUACAAUGGGGGGUACAGAGGGCCGCUACCACGCGAGUGGAUGCCAAUCCCCAAAACCUCUCUCAGUUCGGACUGGAGUCUGCAACCCGACUCCACGAAGCUGGAUUCGCUAGUAAUCGCGCAUCAGCCACGGCGCGGUGAAUACGUUCCCGGGCCUUGUACACACCGCCCGUCAAGCCAUGGGAGCCGGGGGUACCUGAAGUGCGUAACCGCGAGGAGCGCCCUAGGGUA
rnacentral:rRNA from 1 species